rnacentral:rRNA from 1 species
GACGAACGCUGGCGGCGUGCUUAACACAUGCAAGUCGAACGGUAAGGCCCCAGCUUGCUGGGGUACACGAGUGGCGAACGGGUGAGUAACACGUGGGUGACCUGCCCCGCACUUCGGGAUAAGCCUGGGAAACUGGGUCUAAUACCGGAUACGACCGCACCCUGCGGGUGUGGUGGAAAGUUUUUCGGUGUGGGAUGGACCCGCGGCCUAUCAGCUUGUUGGUGGGGUAAUGGCCUACCAAGGCGGCGACGGGUAGCCGGCCUGAGAGGGUGGACGGCCACAUUGGGACUGAGACACGGCCCAGACUCCUACGGGAGGCAGCAGUGGGGAAUAUUGCACAAUGGGCGGAAGCCUGAUGCAGCGACGCCGCGUGGGGGAUGACGGCCUUCGGGUUGUAAACUCCUUUCACCAUCGACGAAGGUUUUCUGACGGUAGAUGGAGAAGAAGCACCGGCUAACUACGUG